AUUGAACGCUGGCGGCGUGCUUAACACAUGCAAGUCGAGCGAGAAAUUUCCCGCUUGCGGGAAAAAGUAAAGCGGCGCACGGGUGAGUAAUGCAUGAAUAACCUGCCCUUAGGUCUGGGAUAACCCCGUGAAAAUGGAGUUAAUACCGGAUAAUAUCCAUUUAGCCAUGGUUGAGUGGGUUAAAGGUGGCCUCUGCUUGCAAGCUAUCGCCUGAAGAGGGGUUCGUGUCCCAUCAGCUAGUUGGUAGGGUAAUGGCUUACCAAGGCUAAGACGGGUAGCUGGUCUGAGAGGACGACCAGCCACAUUGGCACUGAAACACGGGCCAAACUCCUACGGGAGGCAGCAGUGGGGAAUAUUGCGCAAUGGGCGAAAGCCUGACGCAGCGACGCCGCGUGAGGGAAGAAGGUCUUCGGGUCGUAAACCUCUGUCAGGUGGGAAGAACCUCUCCUUAUCAAAUAGAUUUGGAGAGUUGACGGUACCACCAAAGGAAGCACCGGCUAACUCCGUG
rnacentral:rRNA from 1 species